AGGGACAGAUGCCCUUCAGCAAAAGGCAGAAGGAGGUGGCCCAGGGCAGAUGUGGCCCACUUCCUUUCUGCCUGCCAACUCUUUUACUUUUUUUUUUGGUGGUGCUGAGGACUGAACCCAAGGUGCUCUACCUCUGAGCUACACCCCAACCCCUUCUGUUUUUGAGACAGGAUCUUGCUAAGUUGUACACACUGGACUCAAACUUGUGAUCCUCUUGCUUCAGCCUCCCGAGUCACGGGGGGCUAUAGGCAGUCAUCACCAUGCACGACCUGCCUGCCUGCCUUUCCUGACUGCUCACUGUGCAGAGUGUCUGCUGUGUGCAGAGCACCCUCCCAGCAAGUGCCAACUGGGGUAUCCUGCCACCAACACAGUGUCACCAGGGAGGCUCGGAGAUGGUGGGGGUGGCCCUGUCAUUACUGCUACCCUGUAGGUGUGCCCAGUGUGAUGGGGCAGCACAGGGAGAAGGUGCACAUGAAGCAGAGUAUGGCCGGAAGAACUCCAUUCUGAGUUCUGACCUCCAACUUGAGACCCUCUCAACAAUUCCUAACAAAUGUCACUUGAGGUGGAUGUUUGUGUGACCUGCUUGGCAGAUGAGGAAACCAAGGUUUGGAGAGGUCCAGUCAGGUAUCACAGACCACACCACCAACACUGGCUCCCUUUGUCAAGUGAGCCUCAGGUGGGCAGGGGUUUUUUCUUGUUCUCCAUAUGUCCCCAGGGCCCAGCGCACUGCCUGACACACAG
rnacentral:lncRNA from 1 species